GACGAACGCUGGCGGCGGGCUUAACACAUGCAAGUCGAACGGAAAGGCCCUGCUUUUGUGGGGUGCUCGAGUGGCGAACGGGUGAGUAACACGUGAGUAACCUGCCCUUGACUUUGGGAUAACUUCAGGAAACUGGGGCUAAUACCGGAUAGGAGCUCCUGCUGCAUGGUGGGGGUUGGAAAGUUUCGGCGGUUGGGGAUGGACUCGCGGCUUAUCAGCUUGUUGGUGGGGUAGUGGCUUACCAAGGCUUUGACGGGUAGCCGGCCUGAGAGGGUGACCGACCACAUUGGGACUGAGAUACGGCCCAGACUCCUACGGUAGGCAGCAGGGGGGAAUAUUGCACAAUGGGCGGAAGCCUGAUGCAGCAACGCCGCGUGCGGGAUGACGGCCUUCGGGUUGUAAACCGCUUUCGCCUGUGACGAAGCGUGAGUGACGGUAAUGGGUAAAGAAGCACCGGCUAACUACGUG
rnacentral:rRNA from 1 species